rnacentral:rRNA from 1 species
UACAGAGGUGGCAAGCGUUGUUCGGAAUCAUUGGGCGUAAAGGGCGCGUAGGCGGCCUGCCAAGUCGGGUGUGAAAUCCCUCGGCCCAACCGAGGAACUGCACUCGAUACUGGCUGGCUAGAGUCCGGGAGGGGAUGGUGGAAUUCCCAGUGUAGCGGUGAAAUGCGUAGAUAUUGGGAAGAACACCGGUGGCGAAGGCGGCCAUCUGGACCGGAACUGACGCUGAGGCGCGAAAGCCAGGGGAGCGAAUGGG